UGUUGAACCCUUAGAAGAAGGACCUUAGCAAGGAAAAACUGCCCAGAAACGUCCCUUAUUAUCCUUCGUCGCUGUUCUUUGCGCACAACACUGAAUUGGGACCUCCUUAUUGUGUUUUGGUCGAUACCAACUUUAUCAAUUUCUCCAUUCAGAACAAAUUGGACUUAGAGAAGGGAAUGAUGGACUGUUUAUAUGCAAAAUGUAAGUUUUAAGCUGGCUGCUAUCUGUACUCUGUUAAUUUAUUCAUUUGGUGAAUUUUAUGUGUGGCAGUACAGUCAUGGGUUCUAAUCCAUUUAUUCGCGAUUAAAUUGCUUUUAUAGGCCCUUUUAGGGGGUAAAAGAUGCCAUUGAUUGUUUGGUUUCUGAGUAAAAAUUUUUCUUGUUUCUAUUCAUACAUUCAUACUUCGUGUAUUUUGUCAUCUCGGUACUCCUUCAAUCACAGAUUGUGUCAUGGCGGAGCUCGAGAAAUUAGGCCAGAAAUAUCGUGUGGCUCUUAGAUAGAUGUUUUGUCUUCUACAUUCAUAUAAAUUAUUUGAUAUUUGAUUGUCGUAUAUUCUCAUAUUCUAGCUGCAAUUGUAAGAUCAAAAUUAUUAUUGGCAUCCCUAGUAUGUCCUAGUUUAUUGCAUGUUUAUAGUUUGCUAUUUUGAGUUAUUUGCUUGUGCUUUGGCUUAAUUCCACUUUGCCCUUUGCAGUGUUGAUGUGUCAAUUUGCUCACAUAAGGUUUAUAUCUUUAGUUUCCUGUCUACUUCAAAAUGAUAAAUUCACGAGUUGAACGUGACUGUGUUCCUAAUUCCUUGAAAAAUGUUACACCAAUGUUUGCGGAGUAGACACCUUGCUGCUUCAGGUAAUAAAGGACUACGCCACAAUGAACUAAAUAACAUUUUUGAAACCUCAAAGCGAUAGCUUGUAAAUCCAAUGAAUUUCUCUACUUAUUUCUUCCUCACCAUAGUUGUUUGCCACUUCAUUGUGUAAUUAUUAACCAUUUUUAUCAUACAGGCAACCACAUAGCUCAGUAGUCACUGGUAAAGAAAACCUACUAACUUCUUUGUUCUAGUUCACUUUCUGAGUAACUGAUUUAUCAAAUAUUGUUCCAUCUAUGUGGCUGGAUUGCAAAGGAUCCUCGAUUUGAUAGGUUACCUUGUACUCACAAGGGGACCCACGCAGAUGAUUGCAUUGUUGAGAGAGUUACUGAGUUUAGGUGCUUCAUUGUUGCAACAUGUGAUCGAGAUCUGAAGUGAAGGAUCCGCAAGAUUCCUGGCGUACCUAUCAUGAUCACUGAACACAAGUAUUCAGUUGAGCGUUUGCCUGAGGCAACAAUUGGGA